rnacentral:rRNA from 1 species
UACAGGGGGUGCAAACGUUGCUCGGAAUCAUUGGGCGUAAAGCGCACGUAGGCGGUUCGUUAUGUCGGAUGUGAAAGCCCUUGGCUUAACCGAGGAAGUGCAUCCGAAACUGGCGAGCUAGAGUACGAAAGAGGAUCGCGGAAUUCCCGGUGUAGAGGUGAAAUUCGUAGAUAUCGGGAGGAACACCGGUGGCGAAAGCGACGUGCUGGACCUCUUCUGACGCUGAGGCGCGAAAGCCAGGGGAGCAAACGGG